AUGAGGGAAGUGAACUCUGUUGAACCGGCGGUGCCUCAGUAUUUGCGCUGGUCUGAGCAACCCAUUUUAUGGAGUAGAGAGGAUCACCCGCCCCGGGUUGACAAUCCAGGUCAUCUGGCAUUGGUGGUGGCCCCUCAAGUUGGGGGAUAUAAGUUCACUAAGGUACUCAUGGAUGGGGGAAGUAGUAUCAACAUCCUAGAUUAUGAUAUCUUCCGUCGUAUGGGGUUGACAGAUAAGAAUCUUAAACCGUCAAACACCGUUUUCCAUGGUGUGGUGCCUGGUAAGUCUGCCUAUCCAGUGGGCAAGAUAGCCUUAGAGGUGGCUUUUGGAGAUGAUCAUGAUUCAAGAUCAGAAACAUUGACUUUUGAGGUGGUAAAAAUCAAAAGUCCGUAUCACGCUUUGUUCGGGCGACUGGCUUAUGCUAAGUUCAUGGCAAGGCCGUGUUAUGUUUAUCUGCAUCUUAAAAUGCCAGGUAAUAAGGGGACCAUCACAGUACAUGGGAGCAGGAAGAUCGCUUUGGAAUGUGAGGAAGGUGAUGCGGCUUAUGCUGAGUCGGUUUGUGCCACGGAGGAGCUGAAGUUUUAUAAAGACCAAGUUGAUCCGACAGAUAUGACUUCUUUGAAAAAUCCAACUACGGAGCACGAUCCAGCGUUGAAGUUUAAAUCAGACAUAGAUACUAAGAUGGUUGAUUUUGUUCCUGAUGAUUCAUCCAAACAGUUCAGUAUCAGCGCUAACCUGGAUCCCAAAUAG
rnacentral:rRNA from 1 species